rnacentral:rRNA from 1 species
CAGCCGCCACGGUAAUACGAAGGGGGCUAGCGUUGUUCGGAUUUACUGGGCGUAAAGGGUGCGUAGGCGGAUUGUUAAGUCAGGGGUGAAAUCCCGAGGCUCAACCUCGGAACUGCCUUUGAUACUGGCGAUCUUGAGUCCGGGAGAGGUGAGUGGAACUGCGAGUGUAGAGGUGAAAUUCGUAGAUAUUCGCAAGAACACCGGUGGCGAAGGCGGCUCACUGGCCCGGAACUGACGCUGAGGCACGAAAGCGUGGGGAGCAAACAGGAUUAGAUACCCCCGUAGUCCCUGUCUCUUAUAC